CCCGCGACCCGCGACUGCAGAAAUCUCUGGGCGCGUGACACUCGCGCGUGGGAUCUGCGAGUGGCUGCUCCCCGGCGUGUGACUGGCGCGUGGAGGCGCGUGACCUUAUUGAGGAAAAAUCACCCCCUCUCGAUACGCCAAGUGUGUGGAAACGUUGCGUAAGGGCACGUAGCAUCCAAGUACGUGAGGCGUCGAGUCAAGAGAGGGCGCGUCGAUCGAUGUGGGUUGUCACAGAGGAAGCGUGUCCCGGGGCGUCAGUCUAGUAUAUUGAAUAGCUCACUUUGACCUUAAUGUUUCUUCUCUUGUUUUUACCU